UACGUAGGGGGCAAGCGUUGUCCGGAUUUAUUGGGCGUAAAGAGCGUGUAGGCGGCCGGACAGGUCCGCUGUGAAAACUCGAGGCUCAACCUCGAGAUGUCGGUGGAAACCGUCUGGCUAGAGUCCGGAAGAGGAGAGUGGAAUUCCGUGGUGUAGCGGUGAAAUGCGCAGAUAUCAGGAAGAACACCCGUGGCGAAGGCGGCUCUCUGGGACGGUACUGACGCUGAGACGCGAAAGCGUGGGGAGCGAACAGG
rnacentral:rRNA from 1 species